GGGAGGCAUCAUCUUCAUUGCUUUGAGCCUCACAAUGGCGGGUGGACCUAUCAGUGAUUGUAUGCUUGUUUAUUUGGGACACGGGUGGAGCUGUAGUCUAAACCAGUGAGCCUCUUGGGCUUGCCAAUCAGAAGGUAAGCAGUUCGAAUCCCUAUUAUGAGGUGAGCUCCCAUUGCUUUGUCCCACCUCCUGUCAACCUAGCAGUUCGAAAGCACACUAGUGCAAGUAGAUAAAUGGGUACCUCUGCGACGGGAAGGUAAACGCCAUUUCUGUGCACUCUGGCUUCCGUCACAGUGCCCUGUUGCACCAGAAGCAGUUUAGUCCUGCUGGCCACAUCGCCUGGAAAGCUGUCUGUGGACAAACGCUGGCUCCCACAGGCUGAAGGCGGGAUGAAUGCUGCAACCCCAUAGUCUCCUUUGACUGGGCUUAACUUCCAGGAGUCCUUUACCUUUUUUAUGCACCUAUAAUUCUACACAGGAUCUGAGGACAAUAAUAAUCAACCUUGAUUAUGGUUCAUCCUAUUUGUGAUCUUAUUCCAUUAAAAGGGACCAAUUUCACCCUACUGAACCCAGAGGGAAAAACUGAUAUAAAUAAAAUAUUAUAAUUCACAUUAGGCAGAUAUCUUUAUUAGGUAAGCCGAAACAUUACAAAAUAGCACACAAGCUUUUGAGUUCUUUGGGACUCUUAAUCAAAUGAGAUGGUAAACAAAACAAGUGUGGGAAUUAUAGACGGAAGGGAGGGAAUCAGCUGCUGUUUGAUCCAUGGAUACAGACUGCAUUGAGUUACACACUUCAGAAGGAAAGUGUAAAGAGGUAGCCGAUACUCAUAUGAGGCUCUCUUUCAUGCUUUGCAGGUUUCAGGUUCCAUGUAAGGCUGAUGGGAAAAAGAAACAUUCAAUGCUUGAGUAUUCUUCUGAAAAUUCAAAAUCCAGGUGUUUCCCACAUCUGUCUCCUUCUCACAGGGGAAACACACAGGAAGAAAAUGAAUGUGGAAAAACUAAGUGGUUUUUAAAAAAAGGAAUAAAGCUGGAGAUUAAUUUUAGGUAGCAUGCUAGGUAAGAAAAGGCCAUACAGACCUAGCAGUUUGUCAGCGAUUGGCCUGAGGAGUGGGGGAAUGUGUGGGCAGAGGAAGCAGAUGGGGGGAAGGAGGAGGAUGGGAAAGAGGAAAUAUCUUAGUUUACAGAAAGGUUGGCACACAUAAACCACUUCGUUCAGGGCACUAAGCAGCCCCCAACAUUUGUUUUUAUUAUUACAAAUCUACUUAUUUGAGGAGCAAAGAAAAAGAGGGUUAUGGCAAUAGAGGCCACCCUUUUAAAUGUCAACAAACAUUCUGCAAUAAACCCCGAAGUGCUAAGGAGCUCUCACAGCAACAUGGACUGCAGAUAUAUAACAAAUCAGCUUAUUUUAUUUUUCAUGGUAAGGAAGCGUCCAGAGGAAAGGAACAAAAAAUAUAGGCUGGCAUUAUGAGCAGCACCAAGUCUGUCCAAGUCACACCAUACUCCCAUUUUGUUUAGCAUCGUCUACGUAGAUUAGCAGCAGUUCUCUAGGGACUCAGACAGAAACCUGGACACAGCAAGGAUUAAACCGGGGACCUUUGCAUGCAAAAUGUGUUCUUUGAAACUAAGCAGUGGUCCUUCCCAAAUGAAUUUGAUUAGAUGAUAAAAGGAUCAAGGGGAAAAUAUUUUGUGCUUCCAAGAGUUGAAUUGGAGGGCAUGUUUGCCUUCUGCCUUAAAUCUUCACGUUGUUUGUGCAGGGAGAGUAGAGAAGAGGGGGAAGGUAAAAACUCCAUCGUGCUUUAGCUAGCUCCAGCUAACAAUUGUCUUAGCUAUGCAAGAUAGCUCUGCGGGCAGGCAGUGGGUUUCCUGUCUGGCCUCCUACUUAGCUGAAGCAAAAGAAGCUCAGCUCGGCAGGCCGGUAGUGGUUUUCCUGUCUGCUUCAGUUGUGGUGAGCUAGCUUCCCACCUCAGCUGUGCAAAGAUGCAAACACAUAAUGCAAAGCAAACAAUAUGCAACGGUGGGGGAGGAGGGCUUAGCUAACCUAAAAAGGUAAUAAAGUGUAUCUCUGCUUGUUGAUUGGGGAGCAACUGAGGGCAAGCUUGCAGCUUCAGUAUAAGAAUGCUUGGAAGACAAUAGGGGGCGGCCAGUCUUUGGAAGCUAUUCCACUGGCUAACUCUGCGCAGAUUUUGCAAUAAACCUUUUUCUCUGUGGAACCCACCCUGGUGUAUGUUUGACUCCUUCAUGCUAACAGCAAGGGCACGAGGUGACUGGAUCCGGACCCCUUAGGAUCAGAUAUCCUAACAUUUGUGCAGGGAAAAGGAGACUCAUGGCGUACUUGUUUUAAUGAGCAGUUGCCCCAUUCCUCGAAGAGCCAUAUAUCAGUCUCCUGUUUGUCAAAAAAACAACAGCAAAGUGAAUCCUGCUGAAAAUGUGGACUACCCAUUCACCUGGGUAUGUCAAUUGCUAUGUAAAUCAAUUUUCCAUGAAAAAUAAACACUUGAAACAGACUUGAAGAACUAAUAAGGAGGUGGGGGGGAAUGAAACAUGAUUAACUAUAAUUUUAAAAUGUUGUUAUAGGAUUGGUGGGUUGGUCUGGAUAUCAUAUUUGGGUUCCGCCCAAGGCUCCUCAAACUAGUCACUUUAUUAACAAACUUAGGUAAAGCCAUUAAGCAUCUCUUCACAUGGCUAAAGUGUACAGGUGAGCAAUUGCCACAGAAACUAAGUCAGCGAUGCUACAGGAAGGCAGGUCUUUAGCUCCACCCCUGGAUGAAACCAGAGUCCUUUCUGUUGGGGAUAAUUAAGACUGAAAUUCCCAGGUGUAAAAAACAAAGUCAUUUAUGUAUACUACUACUAUGACCCGUGUUUUGUUAGCUCAAAAAUGGAAAACGAGUAAGGCCCAACCAAGGAAGAAUGGCAACUUUAGUUGAUGGAAUAUGCACAACUUGCAGACUUAACAUAUACAAUAAGAGAACAAGAAGAACAUACGUUUAGAAAAGACUGGAAAACGUUUAUUGAAUAUAUGGGAAAUAAUGUUGUACAGCUGAAAACGCUAGAAGCCUUAAGAUAAAUUCAACAGUGUAAAUAAGUUAUGAUGGAUGUAAUACAGUGGUACCUCGGGUUACAUACGCUUCGGGUUACAUACGCUUCAGGUUACAGACUCCGCUAACCUAGAAAUAGUACCUCGGGUUAAGAACUUUGCUUCAGGAUGAGAACAGAAAUUGUGCUCUAGCAGUGUGGCAGCAACAGGAGGCCCCAUUAGCUAAAGUGGUGCUUCAGGUUAAGAACAGUUUCAGGUUAAGAAUGGACCUCCAGAACGAAUUAAGUACUUAACCCGAGGUACCACUGUAAUGGAAAACUGAAUGGAAUAGUUUUUGUAAAAUAUGCAGGGAUUUGUGAUAUGUAAAAUGAACUAUGGAAAGAGAAGAAGGGAAAUAUUUCAAGGAUGUAAAAAUUAUUUUAAAAUUUUUAUAUAUAUAAAAGAGAUGUAAUCAGGGUGUGUAAGACAGCAGUAGACCAGGGGCUGGUGUCAUGCAGAACUGAGAGCUGUGAAGACAUUCUGAAGACUUUCUCUCUGUGCUGGUCCAAAUCGAUGACUUGAAGGGCUCCUCUAAAAACCAAACUGGGCAGCAAGCUCUGUUGGAGUAUGAAUGCUCUAAGCUACUGGUUCCCAAUUGGUGGUCUUUGGACAAAACCCACCCAGGGGGUUUGCGGCACCAUUCACAUAACAAUAACUACAAUAGAGAUACCUAAAAUUUCAAAAGUAGGGGGUCCAUGGCUUGGCUUUUGAAAAACAGAGGUUCCGCAGCUAAUUGUUAAACACUGCUCUAAGCCCUUCCAGCUUAUGCCUAACUUCUGUAUAUGUCUAAACAAAAACCAUAAACAGUACAACUGUGGCUUGCAUGAGAGAUGUGUUCCAGGGAUGGCGCAUGCAUGCAAAAGCAUAUAUACUCGAACCACACCCUUGGAACAUAAGACGACCCGGAUGGUUGCCAGAUUAUGUGUACAGAUCUGUAGGUGCAGAGCAUCCCCCAACCCAAACUAGUUCGUUAAGAAAAUCCCCAAACUCGGUUCCAUGGGUAACUCUGGGUCAUCUCUCUGAGGUAGCUUAUCUUAAAGUUUAAGUGUCUAUAUGCUUAUCACAUUUAUAAAUUUUAAAUUUAUUGUUGUACAUUGUUUUAAAUGUUUGUUUCCCUUCUGAGAUUGUACCCCCAAGUGUGUUUCAUAAGCUGGUCUCAGGCCGUAAUAAAUUAUCUAAUCUAAUCACACCUUUGGAACAGCCCCUUGCAAAAAGAUAGAGAAACUGAAAGUGAUAGAUUUGCCAUUCCUGAGACUGAGAUAUGUUGCCUGAUAGAGAUCUCAGAAAGGGUGAUCCACUAUGUGGGAGCCACAGUGCAAGAGGAUCUGUCCCAUAUCCUAACAGAUCUAAUUUUUCUCACUCAGGGAGCCAUCAUGAGGCAACAGAUCUAAAAGGAUGAAUGAGUUCCCUGAGUGAAAGUUUCAAGAAAACAUUUUCAUAUAGCACCAUCAGACUACUUACUGGAGAAUAAGAGACAAAAUUUCCACGAAAUUGAAAUCUUUUGUUCCUUGUUUCACCAGCCAUUUCUGCUUUUUCUUUCUACUCCUUGGCUGCCAAGAAAUUCCCCUUUUAUGCUACUUGGGGGUGUCCAAAAGUAGAACUGUGGUUUUAUAACUCAAGAGGCAAAACCACAGUCUAGUUCAGCAAACCUGACAAUUACUGACUGACUGCUAAGCCACUAAGAUGUCAAACAGCCUUUCCCAGCAACACAGAAAACUCCAUUUCUUUUCAUUCCAGACUUAUAAAAAGUCUCUGCUCUGGUUUCUUUUAUUAAAAAAAUUACUUCCUUUUUUCUUGGUGUUCUUGACUGCGGCAGGAAAAGUGGUAUAAGUAGAUGAUUUAUCUUCAAACGUAGCCUUUUUAAUGUACUGGAAACAAAACAUGCAUUAGUAACAAAUAUACUAAGAAAAGGGAGAAUUAUGUGGGAGAUGGAGGCUGCCAUGGCAAUGGGGGCGGGGAGUAGCUUAAUUUCUCAAUAGCCGAAUAUCGUACUGUAGAAAUGUGAUGCAGCUGAAUCACUUCUGAACAUUCCCAGACACAAUACCUUGACAACAAUCUGAGAGAACUCAAGUCUGGUUUUUAAACUCCGUCAUCUCAUGCCAGAGUGUAAUAUAUAUGAGACUACCUCAGAGCUGCGGGUGGCGCUGUGUUCUAAACCACUGAGCCUCUUGGGCUUGCCAAUCAGAAGGUCAGCAGUUCGAAUCCCUGCCAGCUCCUGCCAACCUAGCAGUUUGAAAGCACACCAGUGCAAGUAGAUAAAAAGGUACUGCUGUGGCGGGAAGGUAAACGGCGUUUCUGUGCGCUCUGGUUUCCAUCACGGUGUUCCGUUGCACCCAGAAGCAGUUUAGUCCUGCUGGCCACAUGACCCGGAAAGCUGUCUGUGGACAGACGCCGGCUCCCUCGGCCUGAAAGCAAGAUGAGCGCCGCAACCCCAUAGUUGCUUAACUUCCAGGGGUCCUUUACCUUUAGCUUUACCCUUCAUCUGCUUGCUGCAGUCUGAGAUGAGCUCUCCAGAUAAUGUUUUCACCAACAUCUGCCAGCUUCUCUUAGGUCCAUCAUGAGAUGUCUGUCAGCUUCCAGCCAUGGAUAUCAGCAGCCUUCAAGCAAGCAAAGUUGCCUUAUUAUCGCUCCCUAGCAUCCCACUGUCAGAGGACUGCCUCCUUCCAAUCACCAGUUUGCCACCUCCUGGGCAGUGCUGAAUGUCACAUCCAUUGCCAGGUGUGUCCUGC